rnacentral:rRNA from 1 species
GACGAACGCUGGCGGCGUGCCUAAUACAUGCAAGUCGAACGCAGUUGCGAACGGGUGAGUAACGCGUAGGUAACUGCCUCAUCGCGUGGGAUAACUAUUGGAAACGAUAGCUAAUACCGCAUACUGUGAGAUGGACCUGCGUUGUAUUGGCUAGUUGGGGAGGUAAAGGCUCACCAAGGCGACGAUACAUAGCCGACCUGGGAGGGUGAUCGGCCAAACUGGGAAUGGGAAACGGGCCAAACCUCUAAGGGAGGGAGCAGUAGGGAAUCUUUGGCAAUGGAGGGAAGGCUGACCGAGCAAAGGCGGGGGAGUGAAGAAGGUUUUCGGAACGUAAAGCUCUGUUGUUAGAGAAGCGGUAACUAAACAGAAAGGGACGGCUAACUACGUGCCAGCAGCCGCGGUAAUUC